UUACUUUGAAGUUAAAUGUUAAUCGUGUUUUAAAAUAACCCGGCUUUUAGCAAAAUGGACUACUUAUAAUAUUCAUGGUACGUUCCAACCAGCCAGCCAAAAGCUUGGCAGCUUGAAGAGCGCCUCAAAAACUUAUUUCGAAAACAGAUAUCAAAAUUCGACAAAUGCAUAAAUAUGCACAGGCAGCAAAUAAAAUCAAAUUGAGAGACUCUCCGCCAGCCAACAAAAAAGUUCUAGAGUGCCUUUGAGAUACAUUUAAAUAAAAACCAAAAUCAGCAUCAGGAUCAAAAUAAAAAUGAAAAUGGAAAUGUAAAUGGCAAAUACUCUUUGUGCAAGUCACUCAAGCGAUGACUGGUCAAAGCUUGUGCCUUCUGCUUUGGCAUUUGCUUUUCCGUUUCCCCAAUUUUCCUGCUACCUUUCCCGAGUCAGCCAAGCGUUGGCACUGUGUGCGUGGAAAGUUAAUUAGCAUGUCAAUGUCUAAGCCACAUUAAAGCAGUUUCAUGAUAUGUGUGCCAUUUCAUAUUGAACACAUUGCGUAUGCGUAAUAUUUACUCUAUUCAUUUUAAUGUACAUUUAUGCAUAUUAUAUUGAGCUACAGCCACAUGUUAGUGUCUAAACCAAAUUAAAGCGGUUGGCUAUUCAUAUUGAAUAUAUACUUGUCACCAGUA